GUGGUGUGACUCCCUCUGAGGCUUGGACAGUUCUAUGCAGUUACUCCUCUGCUCCAGGGCCAGUUGCCCCUGUCCAGCACCGUUCCAUGUGCUUUCAUGGGUAACAAAGGAACUCUGGAACUUUUUGCACUAUAUUUAGGAGCCUAAGAGAGGCUGGAAGGUGUUGAAGAGGCUUGAAGUUCAGGCCUUCUCUGCUUCACUGCCAUUUUCACUCUGGUUUCUCCAAAAAAAGAUGCAAGUACAGGGAAUUGGAGAUACCAAAAAAAAUCCCAUCAACCUGGAUAGUGGUGCCUCUAGAUGGAAAUAAGCCCCAUGAGACUCCCAGAAGGAGGCCUGUGCCUCUCCCAAUGCUCAUCUGAUGGCUCCUUCCAUCUCAGACACAAGAGACAAGAAAUGAAGGCCAAUGAGUAGCUGCUUCAAUCCUACACACAGCCCAAAGAAAAGCAUACAUUUGUCUACAAACAGGGCAGUGCAAGGUGUUGCCUCUAAGCCCCUGAAACAGAGAGUACUACUGGGAACAGGUCAACCUCUUCCACUCCAGCGCUGCAUUCGGUGCCCCAUAAUGGUGACUCCCUCUCAUCAGGAUGUAGCCAGAAAGAUCACUACACCCCAUCUCACUAAAAUUCUCAUGAUGACUAAAUAUACAAGCAUGACAGAAAUCAUGCAGAAAUUGACAGUGGAGAUUGUGGCAGGUCAGGUCUCACUAACAUAGGCUUCUGUAACAACUGUUUCAGCACUGACUGAAUGGUUAAGUUACAUAUUAAAAACUGAUAGAGCCAGUACUCUUAAACAAAGGCUGGAACGU
rnacentral:lncRNA from 1 species